ensembl:lncRNA
CGUUUGUUCACGCAAGAGAUUUCUUGCUUGAGGGACAAGAUUCUAGUGCGUCUGAAGACAAAUCUUUGUGUGUGUGGUGUGCUGUGUUUGGAAUAUCGCAGGACACCACACACAAGACGAUCAAAACUGUUAAUGUAAUCUUAAUGUGUGGGGUCUCCACAGAUAAAAAAUCGGUUGAGAUUUAUAAAAUCUUUAUGUGUGUGGCAGGCUUUAGGUGAGACCCAAAAGGGGCCAAUGCAACCCCAGUGGUGCGAUGAACACCUGCAGCUCGACUUGAGAGACUACCAAGCAUAUUAUAACCCUAUAACCCUAACCCAUUAAGCAAUGUUUUACUUCCGUCUUUCUUUAUUUUAGGGUGAUAAAAUCAUCGAGGGAGAGAGCAUCAGGCUAGUCAUUGUUGGGGAUCCUGCAUAUCCGCUCCUUCCGUGGCUGGUUAAAGGACAUCUCAGCUCCCCACGGCUAACUCCAGAGCAGGAAUCUUUCAACGUGUAUCUAAGUUCGCUCCGGGUUGGGGUGGAAAAUACAUUUGGGAUUCUAAAGCUUCAGAGGGAACAUGUAAACUGGUUGGAAGAGGCUGCAACUCCAGACGGAAUCUAUCCUCAGCCUGCCCAGCCAGCAAAUGUUAAUGAACAUGGUAACCACGAAAGGGCCAUGGUUACAGGAUAUAUGGCCACUCACUUUCCCCUUCGCAGUGGUCAUCUCUAUUAAUUGAAACACGUAUGGUUAAGGGAACAUAAUGGUGGAAUAAAUAUUUAAUAAAUAACAAUAAAUACAAUAAAUAACAAUAUUUUCACAUCAAUAUCUGCUCAUCUUAUUAAUUAAUUUAUUCAUUGAUGGGGAACAACCGGUUGUUGUUUUUUAAUGUAGCCUACCCCAUAUCAAAUUGUAUAUAGCUAUAUAUAAAUAGAUAUAGAUUGUAUUAAAUUUAUAAAUUGUUAAACAUGCUACCAAACUAGAUAUAUAGAUUGUAUAGGCCUACAUGUAUAAAUUACAGAAAUGACAAAAACAAAUAAAUAAUAUAUAGUCU